rnacentral:rRNA from 1 species
UACGGGGGGGGCAAGCGUUGUUCGGAAUUACUGGGCGUAAAGGGCUCGUAGGUGGCCAACUAAGUCAGACGUGAAAUCCCUCAGCUUAACUGGGGAACUGCGUCUGAUACUGGAUGGCUUGAGUUUGGGAGAGGGAUGCGGAAUUCCAGGUGUAGCGGUGGAAUGCGUAGAGAUCGGGAAGAACAUCGGUGGCGAAGGCGGCCUGCUGGGCUGUUGCUGACGGCUGAGGCGCGACAGCGUGGGGAGCAAACAGG